rnacentral:tRNA from 1 species
UGGGCUAUAGCUCAGCUGGGAGAGCGCUUGAAUGGCAUUCAAGAGGUCAGCGGUUCGAUCCCGCUUAGCUCCACCA